AGACCCGAAACCCGGUGAUCUAGCCAUGGGCAGGUUGAAGGUUGGGUAACACUAACUGGAGGACCGAACCGACUAAUGUUGAAAAAUUAGCGGAUGACCUGUGGCUGGGGGUGAAAGGCCAAUCAAACCGGGAGAUAGCUGGUUCUCCCCGAAAGCUAUUUAGGUAGCGCCUCGUGAACUCAUCUCCGGGGGUAGAGCACUGUUUCGGCUAGGGGGCCAUCCCGGCUUACCAACCCGAUGCAAACUGCGAAUACCGGAGAAUGUUAUCACGGGAGACACACGGCGGGUGCUAACGUCCGUCGUGAAGAGGGAAACAACCCAGACCGCCAGCUAAGGUCCCAAAGUCAUGGUUAAGUGGGAAACGAUGUGGGAAGGCCCAGACAGCCAGGAUGUUGGCUUAGAAGCAGCCAUCAUUUAAAGAAAGCGUAAUAGCUCACUGGUCGAGUCGGCCUGCGCGGAAGAUGUAACGGGGCUAAACCAUGCACCGAAGCUGCGGCAGCGACGCUUAUGCGUUGUUGGGUAGGGGAGCGUUCUGUAAGCCUGCGAAGGUGUGCUGUGAGGCAUGCUGGAGGUAUCAGAAGUGCGAAUGCUGACAUAAGUAACGAUAAAGCGGGUGAAAAGCCCGCUCGCCGGAAGACCAAGGGUUCCUGUCCAACGUUAAUCGGGGCAGGGUGAGUCGACCCCUAAGGCGAGGCCGAAAGGCGUAGUCGAUGGGAAACAGGUUAAUAUUCCUGUACUUGGUGUUACUGCGAAGGGGGGACGGAGAAGG
rnacentral:rRNA from 1 species